GGUCCGUACUUUGAGCGAUUCUACCUGCAUUUACUGCAGUGGAAAAGAAACCAAAAGGGAUUCCGUCUUGGACUUUAUUGUUUGAGAUGGAGAAGCUCCAAUGUUUGAACCGGAGUAGUCUUUUGACUGCUCUGGAUUGUGAACUAGUGAACUGCUUUUCCAGACAUACCAACAAGUCAGUAGCCUUCACUCCCUGGAAAAGGUUACUGGAGGGUGCAAUCCCCUCACCUUGUCUUGAGUUCUUGUCUUUGUGUUAAGUAGCUUCCGAUGAGUCGGGUUGUUUUACAAACUCCCUAAUCCUGGUGAAAAGUUUCAUCGAAGGCUAAAUAUACUUAUAAAAAACCAACUGAACACAAGUACCGUAAGGGAAAGUAGCUCUUAGUGUAGAGCAUACUGGACGUUAAAGACCUUCCUGAGCCACUCAUAUGAAGGCGAAAGCCGGAUGAAAUCCACGUCAGUUUUUUCUGUGUUGUGCGGCACAUAACAUGGAGAAGACUGAGGAACGCAGAGGUAGCUUUAUGCUAUUUUCUUAGGACGUUGGAUAUUGGCUCUCCAGAUUUUGUCCUUUGGGGCAUGUCAAGAUUGUCACAGAAAGGUGCAAGUAUAAGGGUGUAUCACCUGGAUGCGUAGAGUUUUUUAAAUUCGUUGAGCACCUGGACGUGAGGUAAUACAGGUAGAUUCCCAGCAGAAUCGACAGAUUACCCAGUACAAUCGCCUGUAUUUUACUGCUUCCUGUUGAAAUGAUCCCUGUGCUUUUCAAGUCCCUCAUUGCUUAGACUUUGAUACUUGUAACCCACGCUCUGGUAAACAGAACUGGACAUGAGGGACGAACCCGAAGCAAAGUUAAGGUGCCUAAGUAAAUGCUAUGCUGUUCACUUGGGUGUCUCAGACACCUGUCCCGAGCAGUUUGGCAUUAAAGCAUUUCACCGAUACUUUGCCGUCAUGGUAAAUUUGAUGCCAUGCCGAGUAGGCAGGAAUGAGGGUUGUUGAGAAGCUUGGGUGUAAACUUGAGUGGAUCGGCCUUCAAGCGCAGGUCUUGACAAAAAAAUCUUUAUU
rnacentral:ncRNA from 1 species